rnacentral:tRNA from 1 species
UGGGGGAUCGUAUAAAGGCAAUACAGCGGGUUCUGGCUCCGCCAAUCGAGGUUCGAUUCCUCGUCCCCCAGCCA